UAGGGAAUCUUCGGCAAUGGACGAAAGUCUGACCGAGCAACGCCGCGUGAGUGAAGAAGGUUUUCGGAUCGUAAAACUCUGUUGUUAGAGAAGAACAAGGACGUUAGUAACUGAACGUCCCCUGACGGUAUCUAACCAGAAAGCCACGGCUAACUACGGGCCAGCAGCCGCGGUAAUACGUAGGUGGCAAGCGUGGUCCGGAUUUAUUGGGCGUAAAGCGAGCGCAGGCGGUUUCUUAAGUCUGAUGUGAAAGCCCCCGGCUCAACCGGGGAGGGUCAUUGGAAACUGGGAGACUUGAGUGCAGAAGAGGAGAGUGGAAUUCCAUGUGUAGCGGUGAAAUGCGUAGAUAUAUGGAGGAACACCAGUGGCGAAGGCGGCUCUCUGGUCUGUAACUGACGCUGAGGCUCGAAAGCGUGGGGAGCAAACAGG
rnacentral:rRNA from 1 species